CAGUAGCAUAUAUCUGUAUUAUUUUGUCGUGGCUAUAUUUCCGCGGUGCUUUAGUACCAAUCUCGACUCGAGUUGAGUUUUCUAAGGUUGUAAUAUCACACUGAAAAAAAAAAUUGUCGGGGUUCACGUCAAACCACUUUGGCGUGAUGCUUUCGAAAGUGUGAGGAUUUACUUUCAUCUACGGAUGGGCGGGGCCUAUUUUAUUUGUACAAUCGUACAAUUAUUGUUAUCGAAAUUUUCAAUGCUGUGUGAGUGACAUAGAAAUAUAUUUGAUAUCGCUCGCAUCAAUUAGCUAGCGAAUGGUCGAGCGCUACCACGUACGUGUCAAAAAGAAAAAAAAAUGACGAUGCAUUAAUAAGGUGGCGUCAGAUACCUGUGAUAUUUCAUUGACGACGGUGCGGAUAAGAAACGAGAUUUGAUUAAGAGUGUUAGUGAUACUAAGCGGCGGUGGAGUUCUCAAAUCGAAAAUAUGAUGCAGUUCAUGUUGUUGUUCAGCCGUCAAGGCAAGUUACGAUUGCAAAAAUGGUACGUUGCUCAUCCUGAUAAACUGAAGAAAAAAAUAACGAGAGAAUUGAUAACUACAAUACUUGCUCGAAAACCUAAAAUGUCCAGUUUCUUGGAGUGGAAAGACGUUAAAGUUGUUUACAAAAGAUACGCAAGUUUAUACUUUUGUUGCGCCAUAGAACAAAACGACAAUGAGUUACUGACUCUAGAGAUCAUCCACAGAUACGUAGAAUUAUUGGACAAAUAUUUUGGAAGCGUGUGCGAAUUGGACAUAAUCUUCAACUUUGAGAAGGCCUAUUUUAUCUUGGAUGAGUUGUUGGUGGGAGGAGAAAUACAAGAAACGAGUAAGAAGAACGUGUUGAAGGCGAUAGCCGCUCAAGAUCUACUCCAGGAGGACGAAGCUGUCGAAGGUGCUCUGCGGGAAAUAGGGCUUUUAUAGGCGCCCCGAUCCUCCGUGUGUCCCUACCAUCGACCAAACUGACCACCAACAACCACCAACUUCGACAACAAAAUCUCAUCUGCUGAACGAUGCCGUCGCACAUCUCCACUUUCUCGAGGAAACUCCUCAAGGAUUCUUCGAGGAUCAUGGACUCGGUUAAUUCGCGGGAGACUAAACAACGAUCUACGAAGCAUUCUGACCAAUCUGCUGUGAAGACGGACUAUGGAAGAGCGUCCUUAAAGAGGGGAGGGGUCAUCUUCAAGCAAAAUUCCAUCGACUACAGGCGCCGCUCUCGUUACAUAGGCUUUUAAAUGUUAUUCCUCGCAUCACUAUGCAAAACUAUCGAGUUAAUAUUGUUUUUAUCCUUUUUUUAAUCUCAUCUCGCUCUUGAAUCGCGCGUCGAAAAAAUUUGUUAAAACGACUGAUAAUUUGCCAAAAAAUAACUCCAGCAUCGCUUCGUUCGGAGUCGCGGUCGUCGCGCGUCGUACGAAACAAAAUUCAUUCCCAUUUUUUACCCUUUUCGUUGUUUCGUUCCACCGUUGUGGCAGCGCACUUCUAUUAUUUCUCUCGUUAAUUAGGUUUUCAUUGGCACGCUAAAGUUAAGGAUCGCACGCUUGCUUAUUUUGAUAAUGAGUUGCAUCGAAUCGUCCGUAAAUAUAUCGCACUUGACAUCACGCACAAAUUUCUAUUCGCUGACUUUCCAGCACUUCUUGCCCCGAUCAGAAGCUUCAUAUUUCUGUAAACGAGCCGAUUUUUAUUCUAUUUCACAAUUCUAUUGUAUUCGGGAAUUCACCUUCGAAAUACGAUAUCUUGCCUUUUUCCAUUCAUUUUGUAUUUUCGUGACGAUUUAAUUCCGUAGAAAUAUUGCGAACGAACGAGAAAAUAACAAUGCAGUUCAGGCUCGAAUAAAAUCGGCUCGGUUCGUUCAACGAGCAAUCAAAAUCUUCAUUAAAAACGAAUUAUUUGCCAGCAACCUUUUUCUAAGUCGAGUCGGUUGAAAAAUGCAAAACGCGUACUUAAUUGAACUUUUCGAAUAAAUAUUUUUUAGGAUUUCAAACAAUAGUUACUUUUCGACCAAAUUACACAAAUAAAAAUAAACUACGACCAUUUCGAUUACCGACACACUGUCGCCGAAGUGACAAUUCCGGAGCGUAUACGAGACAUAUCCAAAAAAAAUAUUAAUCACUCUUCACCGUCAUCGAUUUUGGGUUGAACCGAGUUUGCAGUUUAAAAGCCCGCCAGAAGAUCGUACUUGAUUGUUGUUGUUGUUGUUUUUUUUUUUUUUUUUUUUUUUUUUUACAAUACUCGCCUUGUCCAGUAAGAACCUCCAAAUGUAAGUUUUAGUGUGAAAAAAAUACUCUCUACCUCCCUGGCUCUGAAAAUAUUCGCACAUUUUUUCGUACAAACGUCGACUAGGUGUACGUUAGGUUUGAUUUUGUCUCGUAAGUAAAGUUGAACAAAUGAUAAAGGUGCGCGACCAUUGUUUAGAGCCGAGACUCGAAACCGACGAGUCGGUAGCUAAAGAGAAACUAGUUGUUCGAAGCAAGGCGUUACUAGUGUGCUAUCCAUUACAGAGUUCAAAUCGAUCAUUCGUGAAUCAAAAACCGUUUAUAUACGAUAAAUAGUUCAUGCUUUAUGCUCCGUCCACGAUUAUCGUAAUGUUAUUAUUAUUACGAAUAUUAUUAUUACUAUCAUUAAUCUUAUCAUCACCGUCAUCUUUAUAAUUAAAUAGUAAAAUAUCAACAAUAAAGGUUAUGAUGGCAAACGAGUUGAAAAAAUAGAAAAGAAAAAUAUUAGAAAACUUUA